ACCCAGUAACAGAACCUGUGUGCAAGAGCUAGGUGAAGGACCUCUAGCACUAGGGAGCUCUGUCCACUUCUCUGAGGAAGUGAGGCCACGUGUGGGGUACCGCAACCAAUUCAUCAUUGCCUUCUCCAGCUGCUGGAGACAGGGCACCGGAGGGUGCACUCCAGGUUCAGGUGGCAGUGUUGAAGCCGAAAGCUUCUAAAGAAGUGGUUUCAGAAAAAUUAAGAGUUGAAUGUAUAUGAGUAAGCAAACGUAGGAAUCCAAAAAACCACAGCCUGGGACAGAUCAAGCCUAGUACCUUUCCAGCACUUAAGAAGAGUUCAUGCCCAAUCGAUUCACUAUUCAUCUUGAUUCCAUCAUGAAGGCUGGUCUUGGGUGUGAGUGAGUGAAGAAGCUGCUCCCAAACUCUCUGCUCUAAGGGAAGAUGGGGCUUGGAGGAGAUUUGACUUUGUAUAUAGUGCAUAUACAUGAAUGCUAGAUGCUGCAGGUAAAAUAGCUAACCUUAAGGAUAGGGUCUCCAGAAAAGAACAGGAUAGGUCCCU
rnacentral:lncRNA from 1 species